rnacentral:sRNA from 1 species
UAAGCUGUGUAUUUGUUUACGCCAUAGAU